GCCGAUGUUGAUCUCACUCAACUUUUUUUUACUCCCAUCAACUCGGAUCUUUACCAUUCCAUUGAUGCUUUGAUUGAACAAAUAAAGUCUUUGGUGCAUCGACACCCUGACAAACUCACUGUAGAAACAAUUAGAGCUGUAAACAAAGGGUACAAGUCAGAGAUAACUUUUGUUACUUAUAGCCAUAGUAGGAAACACAGUGAUGACAAAUCCAAGUUCCCGGAUCCUUCUUGAAAGUUCCUGCCUGACCAUAUUUGAUAUAUAGUAUGGCAAGAACAAUUAAUUUUUUUUCCUUGUAGUUAUUAAAGAUUGUAACAGAUUGAAUCAGCUGCUUAAAUUUGCGUACAAUCAGUUAUCUGCUAACUUUUUUCUUAUCUGGUAUGUAGUUAAUAUAUGAUCUCAGAUUAGUAAUUGCUGGUGUUCUUGACAGAUUAUUCAUUGUCUUCCAGAGUUUUGGGCAGCAUGGACGGGAGCUUAUUACAUCUGAACUGGCAUUGCGGAUCUUGUCUAUCUUAAGUGAAGAACAGUGCCUCACGAAAAUGGGUCGAGCUUCCUUAAAUGCUACCCUUGAGAAUGUUGUCAUAAAGGUAACUUUUAUUUACUUGCAAGAACAUUCCUGGUU